GAAGCAACAAGUGUUUGCAACAUCAAGCUGACAAGAAACUCUGCGGCAGAUAAAGUUUCUGAUCUUUCUGGAGCGGUAUACUGGUCUGGCCCACUUGGGAUAAAAUUAGGGAUAUG